GCUUUGCUCUGACUGAGAGUGUUUUGUUUUCUCCCGAGGGAACAAAGCAAUGGUUGUUUGUGUUUGCAAACGCAAUCCUGUGGAUGUUGAGAAGGAACAGAUGUUGGAUGACUAUCUCCCUUGCCCUGGCUGGGUUCAGAUAAGCUCUUGCUGGCCCAUGUAAUUACCCACUGAUAUGGAGAUGGACUACUUCUCUCCACCCCUUGGAAACACCUGUUGAUAUGGAGCUACACUAAAAGCAGGCGAGAGAUUCUGGAAAUAUUGCAAUUUUACCCACACCAUCCAUCUGUCCUCCCUGUCCAUCAUCCAUUGAUCUACCUGUCUAUCCAUUGAUCAAAUGUUUGCACUUUUAGUAUUGUUUUUCUUUUUCUCCUUUAUGUGUCUAUAAGAAAAGGAAUUCUAAAAAGGCUUAAUCACAAUACCAUUACCACAUCAACAUUUUAAACAAUAAUCCCUUAAUAUCAUUAAAUAUCUAGUCAAUGGUCAAAUUUUCCCAAUUGUCUCAUAAUUUUUAAAACCACUUUCUUGUAAUAACUUUGUAUGGUGACAGAUGGUAAUUACACUUACUGUGAUGAGCAUUUUGAAUCACUAUGUUGUACACCUGAAAUGAAUAUACUAUUUUAUGUCAACUAUACUACAAAAAAAAAGUAAAAAUAGAAAGCAAGUUUGAAUCAGUUUCCAAAUAAUGAUGGUUUGGGGCUUACAACAUAAAUUGGUUUAUGCGUCUCUUCGGCUUUUUUUAACCCGUAGCUUUCUUCACCUCCUCUUUCCCCCUGGUGGCUCUCCUCUCCUCCU